rnacentral:rRNA from 1 species
UGGGGAAUAUUGGACAAUGGGGGCAACCCUGAUCCAGCCAUGCCGCGUGAGUGAUGAAGGCCUUCGGGUUGUAAAGCUCUUUUGGCGGGGACGAUGAUGACGGUACCCGCAGAAUAAGCCCCGGCUAACUUCGUGCCAGCAGCCGCGGUAAGACGAAGGGGGCUAGCGUUGUUCGGAAUUACUGGGCGUAAAGCGAGUGUAGGCGGUUGCCGUAGUCAGGUGUGAAAGCCUUGAGCUCAACUCAAGAAAUGCACUUGAUACUGGGUGACUAGAGGACCGGAGAGGAUAGUGGAAUUCCCAGUGUAGUGGUGAAAUACGUAGAGAUUGGGAAGAACACCAGUGGCGAAGGCGGCUAUCUGGACGGUUACUGACGCUAAGACUCGAAAGCGUGGGGAGCAAACAGGAUUAGAUACCCUGGUAGUCCACGCCGUAAAACGAUGGGUGCUAGACGUUGGCGAGCUUGCUCGUCAGUGUCGCAGCUAACGCGUUAAGCACCCCGCCUGGGGAGUACGGCCGCAAAGGGUUUGAAAACUCAAAAGGAAUUGACGGGGUCAUAGCUGUUUCCU